rnacentral:lncRNA from 1 species
AAAGCCCUUAGAAAUAAUGAUGGACUCAGUAAGCCCCUCUGCCCCCAGAAUGUGGUAGCUAAUUCAAUAUCCCUGUACAUUUAAAAACCUGUACACUGUGUUCAUAGCAGCUUUACUCAUAAUAGCCAAAAACUGGAAACAACCUAAAUGUCCUUCAACAGGUAAAGAGUUCAACUAUGGUACAGCCAUACCAUAGAAUACUACUCAGCAAUCCAAAGAAACAAAUUAUUGAUCCAAACAACAAGGUGAAGGAGUUGCCAGGUUAUUAUAUUGAGCAAAAAACCAAUCCCAAAAAAUUACAUGAUGUAUGGUUCCUUUUAUAUAACAUUUUAGAAAUGACAAAAGUUUAGAAACAGAAGACAGAUCCAGUGGUUGCCAAGCGUUAGGGCCGAAGUGAAAGAGGUGGCUGGAGGGAGGUGGGUGUGGUCAUAAAACGUCUGCACCAGUGAUCCUUUGGUGCUGGAACUGUACAUUUCUUACACUGUGGUGGUGAAUACAGGAACCUACCCAGGUGUUAAAAUUGUACAGAGCCUAAUGCACACAAAAAGAGUACAAAACUAGGAAAUCUGAAUAAGAUUGGUGGAUUAUAUGAAUGUCAGUAUCCGGGUUGUGAUAGUAUAGUAUAGUUUUGCAAAAUGUUACUGUGUUAGUUCAUUCGGGCUGCUCUCACAGAAUACCACAGACUGAUGGCUGUGAACAAAAAUUUGUUUCUCACAGUGCUAGCAGCUGGGAACUCCAAGAUCAAGAUUGUAGCAGAGAGAGGGUUUACUCACAAGGCAGCCACAUGAGGAAGUGAGAGCAUGAGCCUCAAAUUCGCUUCCCUGAAAAUAGGGACUCAGGGAUAUUUGUGGGAUGGGGGCAAGGUGGUCUGAAAUGUGGAGAGAGGUGAUUGGAGGUGAGGAGAGGUGAGGUAACUGAUGAUCUGUGCAAGCGUAGUCAGACCCAUGCCUCUUCAUAGGACCCAUGUUCACAAAAUGGCAGCAUUAGCAUGAUGUGAGGGUGGAGUUUUAGCCUCUUGAUGUCAAAAGGUUGCCUAUUGGACAUCUGCACGGGCCCAGUUGAUGAGCGGGUAGUCUCAACUGGCCUGAAGUGGGCAAGG